UACGAAGGGGGCUAGCGUUGUUCGGAAUCACUGGGCGUAAAGCGCACGUAGGCGGAUUUUUAAGUCAGGGGUGAAAUCCCGAGGCUCAACCUCGGAACUGCCUUUGAUACUGGGAAUCUGGAGUCCGGGAGAGGUGAGCGGAACUGCGAGUGUAGAGGUGAAAUUCGUAGAUAUUCGCAAGAACACCAGUGGCGAAGGCGGCUCACUGGCCCGGAACUGACGCUGAGGUGCGAAAGCGUGGGGAGCAAACAGG
rnacentral:rRNA from 1 species